ACUUUGUGCAGGAGCAUUAUAGUACUUCUGUGGAUACUUUCCCUUUUGGCAACGCGGCUACAUAAAAGACAUGGUGCGUUUUUGCAGGAGGUCCCCAAAAUGGUCCCAAAUAUCCUCCAAUCAGAGGACCGCCAUUCACAGGGCAUCCCCCUCCACGCCCUCUACCAGUUGGACGUCCUCCAAAGCGUCCGAGACUGUCAAGGCUGCGACGAAUAUGACAAACACGUGAGACAUAACAAGGAGCAGUUUCAUGUCGUGGCCACAGCAACAA